rnacentral:rRNA from 1 species
AUUGAACGCUGGCGGCAGGCCUAACACGUGCAAGUCGAGCGGAUGAGAAGAGCUUGCUCUUCGAUUCAGCGGCGGACGGGUGAGUAAUGCCUAGGAAUCUGCCUGGUAGUGGGGGACAACGUUUCGAAAGGAACGCUAUUACCGCAUACGUCCUACGGGAGAAAGCAGGGGACCUUCGGGCCUUGCGCUAUCAGAUGAGCCUAGGUCGGAUUAGCUAGUUGGUGAGGUAAUGGCUCACCAAGGCGACGAUCCGUAACUGGUCUGAGAGGAUGAUCAGUCACACUGGAACUGAGACACGGUCCAGCCUCCUACGGGAGGCAGCAGUGGGGAAUAUUGGACAAUGGGCGAAAGCCUGAUCCAGCCAUGCCGCGUGUGUGAAGAAGGUCUUCGGAUUGUAAAGCACUUUAAGUUGGGAGGAAGGGCAGUAAGUUAAUACCUUGCUGUUUUGACGUUACCGACAGAAUAAGCACCGGCUAACUCUGUGCCAGCAGCCGCCGUAACAC